rnacentral:lncRNA from 1 species
UUUGUGAACUCUUGUCAUGUUUGAUUUUCAAGGGAAGUUAUUUUCUUUAACAAGUAAAUGGGCAUUUAUAUAAUAAGGUGGCAAAUCAUAUUGGAAGUGAACAUCAUGAAGUUCUCUUUAACUCUGAGGAAGGCUUUCAGGCUCUGGAUGAAGUCAUAUUUUCCUUGGAAACUUACAACAUUACAACAGCUGAUGCUUCAGUAAGUAAGAAUGAGAUAGAAAAACAUCUCCUGAGAGAGACAUUUGAGGACUCCAAUCUGAUACUCAAAGAGAUUCUCUGGUGACCAAAAGAAGUCUUCAGUGAUGGAAUAACUUCAGUUAAGAAUUCCUGGUUUAAGAUUUUACAGAAAUAUGUUGAACAUCAGGUUGAUGAUGCAAUGAUGGCAAAUGCAGCCCAGAAAUUUCCCUUCAAUACUCCUAAAACCAAAGGAUACUACUACCAUCAAAUCCUUGAACACCAUUUCCCAGGCCAGGCUGACUGGCUGAGCCAUUACUGGGUGCCCAAGUGGAUCGAUGCCACUGACCCUUCUGCCCACACACUGACCCACUACAAGUCAGCUGCCAAAGCUUAGGUGCUCUUUAUGCUGUAAUAUGAAAGCAAAUAUUUCUUCUUAUUGUAUGGGGACUAUGGGUAGAUAGGGGAACAAUGAAAGUCAACUCAGGCUAACUUGAAUGUGAAAAAAAUAAAAGUCCUAAAUCUAAAA